UACGUAGGGUGCAAGCGUUGUCCGGAAUUAUUGGGCGUAAAGAGCUCGUAGGCGGUCUGUCGCGUCGGAUGUGAAAACCCAGGGCUCAACCCUGGGCCUGCAUUCGAUACGGGCAGACUAGAGUUCGGUAGGGGAGACUGGAAUUCCUGGUGUAGCGGCGAAAUGCGCGGAUAUCAGGAGGAACACCGGUGGCGAAGGCGGGUCUCUGGGCCGAAACUGACGCUGAGGAGCGAAAGCGUGGGGAGCAAACAGG
rnacentral:rRNA from 1 species